AGAAACACGUGUAUCGGUAUACCUGGUGACGGUCGCUGGGAGGCGGUGGCUGGUGUCAGUACCUGUGUACACUCGUGGUGGUGAGAGGCCGUCCUCAGCACCCUCGCUCUGACACCUCUCCUGCUCUAACUUUACUUAUGGUACUGUAAAUGGAAAGGAGUCAAAGGCAAGUCUGCAGUCUUUGAAAUUGGACAAAUAUACAAUGGCAAGCAAAUUUUAGCACAUCUUAAUAAAGGCAGUAUAUCAAGUGCAUGAUAUGAAUACCUCUUGUGUAAGUCCAUGUUGACGGUACAUGAGAGAUCAAGCCAAAACCCAAACUGGUAUUUCCGAUUAAGAUAUUUUAGUAAUUCAGUUGUAAAAGACCAAGAACAAGACUACAGUACCAUGAAACUUUUAUGUCAAAAAGAGCAUCCCAAUGGGCUUAAAGUUUUAGUGGCUUCUGCAUUAUCAGGAAAUGUUGUAAAUAUUGUGGAAGAGAAGGGUGUACCCUCAGGGGCAGUGCUGGAAGUGAGAGAGGGUAACACUACAUUCCACCUUCAUGCAAACAGUGCUGUUCUCUUUCUCCUUAAUGCAUCUAGGCAAGAAUGUGUAGUCUCUGAAGAUUGUGAAAAAUGGCUCGAAUGGGAAGCAACCGAGCUCCAGCCUGUUUUAGUGCCUUAUCUAAUAUCUGUUGCUGGAGGUAAGGAGGACAAGUCUCUGCAAGCUGCCUUGGACUCCUUAUUGACCAGCCUUUGUGCAUCCAACCAUCUCAAUGCCCAGGGCUUAAGUGCAACAUCUGUGGUAUUUUUCUCAUCAUUGUUGCCUCUUAUAAGUGAGGCAAAAAGUCAGACCUUCCUUCAAGAGCAUCACCCAUCCCUCUUGGCUUUUAUCAAAACUCUGAAGGAACAGUCACACUACAAGGAGUGUGUCUCAUCAUGGUAUAAAAGUGAGAGUUUCCUCAAGGCAUGGAUAGCUAAAGGUCCCAUUCCGUAUAAUCCAGUCCAGUCUACCCUUGCCCUUCUCAAAAGCUCUCCAUCAACCACUCCAUUAACAAGUUCCUCAGCAUCAACUCCACCUGAACAGAAUAAGUCAGCACGUGCAGCAGUAUCAAGAGAACAGUUAAUAGAAGCUCAGUCAGCUUGGAUACAUCCUUCUGCCAACACACUGCGGACACCCAAUCCAGCUCCUGUGCUUCCUGUCGAAGGAGAAACCAACAUUCUUAUUACUUCCGCUCUUCCCUACGUUAAUAAUGUACCUCAUCUUGGAAAUAUUAUUGGUUGCGUCCUUUCAGCCGACUGCUUUGCUAGGUUUUGUCGUUUGCGAGGUGAUAAUGUUUUAUAUAUUUGUGGGACAGAUGAAUAUGGCACAGCAACGGAAAACAAAGCUAUUGCAGAAGGACUCACACCACAACAAAUUUGUGAUAAAUACCACGUCAUCCAUGCUGAUGUUUACAAAUGGUUUAAUAUCAGCUUUGAUUAUUUUGGGCGUACAACAACAGAACAGCAAACAAAGAUUGCUCAGGAUAUUUUCACAAAGCUAGAUAAUAAUGGCAAAAUCUUUAAAGAGUCGGUGGAACAGCUUUAUUGCAAGAAAUGUGAACGAUUUCUAGCCGACAGAUUUGUAGAGGGUAUAUGUCCUCAUCCAGGCUGUGGAUAUGAAGAUGCUAGAGGUGAUCAGUGUGAUGGCUGUGGGAAGUUAAUUAAUGCCAUGGAGCUUGUAAAACCUCGAUGUAAGCUCUGUUCUAGUCUACCUGAAGUUAAGUCUUCUAACCAUCUUUUUUUGGACUUGCCAUCAAUUGAGCCUGACUUAAGUUCGUGGUUGGCAACAACUUCCAAGCAGUGGACAAAUAAUGCAAAAGUUAUCUGUGACUCUUGGAUAAGAGAUGGGCUCAAAACUCGGUGCAUCACUCGUGAUUUGAAGUGGGGUACUCCAGUUCCCAAAGAUGGCUUCAGGGAUAAAGUAUUCUACGUUUGGUUUGAUGCUCCUAUCGGUUAUUUAAGCAUUACUGCCUGUUAUACUGAUCAAUGGGAGAAAUGGUGGAAGAACCCCAGUCAUGUGCAGUACUAUGAAUUUAUGGCUAAGGACAAUGUUCCAUUCCAUGGUGUUGUGUUCCCUUCAACCCAGUUGGGAAGUGGUGACAAUUGGACUAUAGUCAAUAAUCUGAUUGCUACUGAAUAUCUCAACUAUGAGGAUGGCAAAUUCUCAAAGAGUCGAGGUGUGGGCGUGUUUGGUGACCAAGUCAUGGAUACUGGGAUUCCUAGUGAUGUUUGGAGAUUUUAUCUUUUGUAUCUUAGACCAGAGGUUCAUGACACGGCUUUUUCUUGGGUUGAUCUGCAAACGAAGAACAACAGUGAACUUCUCAAUAACUUGGGAAACUUUGUCCAUCGAUCACUGUCUUUUGUGUUUAAAUUUUUUGGAUCGGCCAUUCCAGCAGCCAAACCCACUGAACCAGAUUUUCGGGUUAUGGUUGCAGUUAAUCAAGAGCUCCAGUUGUAUGCAACAGCUCUAGGAAAUAAUCGUCAACGAGAUGGGUUAAGGCAUAUCUUAUCUAUAACAAGGAUUGGGAACCAAUACAUUCAGGAACAUGAACCCUACAAACUUAUUAAGCCUGAUAGAUCAGCAGAAGACAGGGAACGUGGAGCCACAGUGACUGCUAUUGCAGCCAACAUUGUAGCUCUUGUAUCUGUAAUUUUGAGUCCUUACAUGCCGAACACUGCGGAACACAUCCAAGUUUUUCUGAAUAAGCCUCCACAAUUACAGGGACUUCCUAGCUUAUUUACACAAUUUCUUUCUACUGGGCAUGUCAUCCAAGAACCAAAACCCCUCAUCACUCCCAUUGAUGAUGAAAUGAUUCAGAAACUAGCUAAGAAAUUUGCUGGUCAGGCUGUGCCAGAAAAGAAGCCGGUUAAUCCAGCAGAAGUAUGCCGUCUGGAGAGCCUUGUCCAAGAGCAGGCUAACAAGGUACGAAAACUGAAGGAGGGUGGCAGUGCUGGCAAGGAUGUGAUAACUGCUGAAGUAGCAACUUUAAUUAGUUUAAAGGGCCAGCUAGCAGUUGCACAGGGAUCUGAUCCCGCUGCCUCUGUUGGCAAGGACAAGAAAAAGAAGGGAAAUGAUGUAAAGGCGGAGACCAGUCCAGUUGGUGCUUCACCUAAUAUGAAUGGUCCUGUAGAUGAGAAAGAAGUUAACCGUCUGCAAGUUUUAGUUACAGAGCAGGGUAACAAGGUACGAAAACUGAAGGAGGGUGGCAGUGCUGGCAAGGAUGUGAUAGCUGCUGAAGUAGCAACUUUAAUUAGUUUAAAGAGCCAGCUAGCAGUUGCACAGGGAUCUGAUCCCGCUGCCCCUGCUGGCAAGGACAAGAAGAAGAAGAAGGGAAAUGAUGCAAAGGCGGAAACCAGUCCAGUUGGUGCUUCACCUAAUAUGAAUGGUCCUGUAGAUGAGAAAGAAGUUAACCGUCUGCAAGUUUUAGUUACAGAGCAGGGCAACAGAGUACGUGCCAUCAAAGCCAAAGCUGGUGUGUCCAAGAAUGAAAUUGGAGUUGAGGUUACUAAACUUUUGGAUCUGAAGAAUCAACUAUCUAUUGCCCAGGGAAUUGACCCUGCUGUGGUCAAUUCCAAAGAUAAGAAAAAGAAAAAGUAGGACUAGAACUAUAACUUGUAAAAGAAAAGAUUCAAUGAAGUUUAUACACUGUAUAAGAAAUAAAUUUUUGUAGUUGGAAAAAAUUAGUGCUUUGAUUAAAACACAUUUCAAUACUAUUAAUGUAA
rnacentral:misc_RNA from 1 species